AGAGUUUGAUCCUGGCUCAGGACGAACGCUGGCGGCGCGCCUAACACAUGCAAGUCGAACGGGGUUCACCUUCGGGUGAGCUUAGUGGCGGACGGGUGAGUAACACGUGAGGAACCUGCCUUUGAGAGUGGGAUACCGUCUGGAAACGGACGUUAAUACCGCAUAAUGCAGCGAGGCCACAUGGUCCUGCUGCCAAAGAUUUAUCGCUCAAAGAUGGCCUCGCGUCUGAUUAGAUAGUUGGCGGGGUAAUGGCCCACCAAGUCUACGAUCAGUAGCCGGACUGAGAGGUCGAACGGCCACAUUGGGACUGAGAUACGGCCCAGACUCCUACGGGAGGCAGCAGUGGGGGAUAUUGCACAAUGGGCGAAAGCCUGAUGCAGCGACGCCGCGUGAGGGAAGACGGUUUUCGGAUUGUAAACCUCUGUCUUCGGGGACGAAACAAGACGGUACCCGAGGAGGAAGCCACGGCUAACUACGUGCCAGCAGCCGCGGUAAUACGUAGGUGGCAAGCGUUGUCCGGAAUUACUGGGUGUAAAGGGAGUGUAGGCGGGGCUUCAAGUCCGUUGUGAAACCGAUCGGCUCAACUGAUCGUUGCGGCGGAAACUGGAGUUCUUGAGUGAGGUAGAGGCAGGCGGAAUUCCCAGUGUAGCGGUGAAAUGCGUAGAUAUUGGGAGGAACACCAGUGGCGAAGGCGGCCUGCUGGGCCUUAACUGACGCUGAGGCUCGAAAGUGUGGGGAGCAAACAGGAUUAGAUACCCUGGUAGUCCACACUGUAAACGAUGAUUACUAGGUGUGGGGGGACUGACCCCUUCCGUGCCGGAGUGAACACAAUAAGUAAUCCACCUGGGGAGUACGACCGCAAGGUUGAAACUCAAAGGAAUUGACGG
rnacentral:rRNA from 1 species